rnacentral:rRNA from 1 species
AGCGACAGGCCUAACACAUGCAAGUCGAGGGGCAGCACAAGGAGCAAUCUGAGGUGGCGACCGGCGCACGGGUGAGUAACACGUAUGCAACCUGCCUGUAAGCGGGGAAUAACCCGUUGAAAGACGGACUAAUACCGCAUAAUACUAAAUUACUGCAUGGUAAUUUAUUUAAACAUUUAUGGCUUACAGAUGGGCAUGCGCAUGAUUAGCUAGUUGGAGAGGUAACGGCUCCCCAAGGCAACGAUCAUUAGGGGUUCUGAGAGGAAGGUCCCCCCACACUGGUACUGAGACACGGACCAGACUCCUACGGGAGGCAGCAGUGAGGAAUAUUGGUCAAUGGACGAGAGUCUGAACCAGCCAAGUCGCGUGCAGGAAGAAUUGUCCUAUGGAUUGUAAACUGCUUUUGCAGGGGAAUAAAGUGCAUCACGUGUGAUGUUUUGUAUGUACUCUGCGAAUAAGGAUCGGCUAACUCCGUGCCAGCCGCCGC